UAGAGAUGUUCCGAUACAAGUAUUGCCUCCGAUACUACCUAAAAUGCUGGUAUCGGGUAGUAUUGGAGUUUAUACACCGAUCCGAUACCCCGUAAAAUAAACCUACAGAAAUUCUAUGUUAAAGUAGUUUAUUUAUGUUCUUUUUCCCGUUAUAACUGACUGACAAACUGGAUACCUAAAAAAGUUCUAUGGCAUUCAUUCUUUGUAUGUAUUUGUUCAUGUUUUGCAAAGGGUUUAACCUGAGCCAGGCCAUACAACAAUGAUAGCA